rnacentral:rRNA from 1 species
AGUGAACGCUGGCGGCGUGCCUAAUACAUGCAAGUCGAACGGAGUGGCGUACGGGUGAGUAAUAUAUAGCUAAUCUGCCCCUUGCUGGAGGACAACAGUUAGAAAUGACUGCUAAUACUCCAUAGCAAGGGAUGAGACUAUAGCGUAUCAGCUAGUCGGUGUGGUAACGGCCUACCGAGGCUAGGACGCGUAACUGGUCUGAGAGGAUGAUCAGUCACAGUGGAACUGAGAAGCGGUCCAAACUCCUACGGGAGGCAGCAGGAGGGAAUAAUGCGCAAUGGGGGAAACCCUGACGAAGCAACGCCGCGUGGAGGAUGAAACUUUUCGGAGCGUAAACUCCUUUUGUUCGGGAAGCGGUACCUAACGAAUAAGCGCCGGCUAACUCCGUGCCAGCAGCCGCGGUAAUUC